GUAAACCAGCUUCCUCUACUUGGGGUCCAUCCAUAAAGGUAUCUCUGUGAGAUUCAGGACCACUGACUUUUAAUCUGGAAUUUCAAAACUCGAAUCCCAUUUCAGAAAUCUCUGCAGUCCUCUCAAAGGAUAGUGAAUUAUAAAUUAGAAUUUGGGAAGGGUGAAAGGGAGGGAUCCAGCUUUUUUGGAACUUUGUUGUUGCAGAUGAAAUUAGAUUUUGGGGGGUGUUCCAGUGUAGUGAGAAGUCCCUUUUUGGAGUAUAUCAUCACCUGCAUUCAGGGUCUCCAGUUGAGUGAGCACCUUCCCAGUUCUGAAGUCCCUGCUGGGAAAUAGGACUGCUUUGGGGAUCUGAAACUCAGCUCAAAAUAAUGCCAGUUAGCUUGGCAUUUACCAGGUUGAUACGUAUCCAUCUCCAAGGAAUGGAUUUGGCCUUGGUCCCUUUCCCCUUGCUGGGUCAUGUAUUUGCCUUUAAUAACUGAAAUCCAGGGUCUGAAGAAAGCUCACACAAAUAUUUCCUGGCAAUUCUGAGCAGCAGAGGGUGGGGCAGCAUAAGUUAUCAAAUUAAAUCCUCAAACACUGGCUGCUCCGCAUCAUUGCUCUGCUUUAGUCCUGCUCUAGCAGUACACAAAACAAGUUUGCUCUUAGUUUCUUCUUUUAGUUUUGCUUUGCCAAAGUCUAUACUAGAUAAUGGCACAUAUUCUCCAAACCUAGCUUUAUCCAUCAAAGCUGAAGUAUCCUUAGACAUGUUUUUUGUUGCGGGGACGGGGCAUGUAGGGGUUUGUGUGUAUGUGUGUGAGUGAGAGAGAGAGAGCUAGAGCCUAGGCAACUGGUCUAAUACUGAGCGACACUCCAGCCCUGACAUGUUCCUCGUAACAAACACAAUAUGCCUCCAAAUAGCAAAAACCCACAUAGUCCUUCCUGGAUGAUUUUUUUUUCCUAUGUAAAUCCACUAAUCUCAUCCUUUUUCCUUAGAAACUAAUCUAACAUUCAUUAGUUGUCAUGCUGUCAGACUGCAAUCUCCUUGAGAGCAGCAACUACCCAGGGAGGCACUUAAAUUAUUUAAAGCCUCUAAGUGACCUUGGACAUGUGCAGGUGCUUAAUAACACAAGCCAUGCCUGGACUUCAGAAAACCUGCGAUCCACAUGGACACAUGGACUACUGUUUACCACUUCCUCCUUUUGCUCAGGCCU
rnacentral:lncRNA from 1 species